CCUACGGGUGGCAGCAGUGGGGAAUAUUGGACAAUGGGGGGAACCCUGAUCCAGCCAUGCCGCGUGUGUGAAGAAGGCCCUCGGGUUGUAAAGCACUUUCAGUGAGGAAGAACGCCUGGUGGUUAAUACCCAUCAGGAAAGACAUCACUCACAGAAGAAGCACCGGCUAACUCCGUGCCAGCAGCCGCGGUAAUACGGAGGGUGCGAGCGUUAAUCGGAAUUACUGGGCGUAAAGCGCGCGUAGGUGGCUUGAUAAGCCGGUUGUGAAAGCCCCGGGCUCAACCUGGGAACGGCAUCCGGAACUGUCAAGCUAGAGUGCAGGAGAGGAAGGUAGAAUUCCCGGUGUAGCGGUGAAAUGCGUAGAGAUCGGGAGGAAUACCAGUGGCGAAGGCGGCCUUCUGGACUGACACUGACACUGAGGUGCGAAAGCGUGGGUAGCAAACAGGAUUAGAUACCAGAGUAGUC
rnacentral:rRNA from 1 species